AUGAUUGAAUCUCAGAGGCAUUCUUAUCAUUUGGUAGAUCCAAGUCCAUGGCCUAUUUCGGGUUCACUCGGAGCUUUGGCAACCACCGUAGGAGGUGUGAUGUACAUGCACUCAUUUCAAGGGGGUGCAACACUUCUUAGUUUGGUCCUAAUAUAUAUCAUUUAUACCAUGUUCGUAUGGUGGCGGGAUGUUCUACGUGAAUCCACGUUGGAAGGGCAUCAUACAAAAGCUGUACAAUUAGGACCUCGAUAUGGUUCUAUUCUCUUCAUAGUCUCGGAGGUUAUGUUCCUUUUUGCUUUUUUUGGGCUUCUUCUCAUUCUUCUUUGGCACCUACGGUAG
rnacentral:rRNA from 1 species